rnacentral:sRNA from 2 species
CAUGCAUAGGUUUUGUAACGUCAUGGAUUUUUUUAAUUUACUUUUAUCUUGCUCAUGUUAUCCCUUCAAGACAGAAGGGAUAUGCCGUUACAUAGCCUCUUGGUCUAGAUCUAUUUUCCCUAUCUCGGAUUGUGAUAUGUUACUAUAUUUCUCUCUUCUUUGACAAGGAAGGAUAUAUUUUGAACAAUUUCUUCCUUACGAUCCCUGCUGAUGUCACCGUUUCCGAAGCUGAACUACUGGAAUUGCCAGGUUGGCAAGUCGAUGCAUGGCCUUGCUUAUACUUGCGCAAGUGAGUCGAUACGCUCUUCGAGAUAGAUCUACACCGGGCAAAAGUGGAGUUUCAGCUUCCUGGUGGCAAUGUCGUUGAAAAGUUGCAAGUUCGGUUUCAUUGGCUCUUCGAAAAGCGACUAUUAUCCUACGCCAUUUGCAAGGUUCGUACAUGUAUUGUACAUAUGGGCGUUUUGGUAGUUGAUCCUAUGACAUGUUGCUUGUGAAGUCGGGUCGAUCAUCACAUUGAGUGGUGCGACGUGUUCCGGGGGAUCAGUUGAUCCCGCAGGUGUUGGAUAUAUUUUCAGUAGAGUUGCAGGCAUCUAUAACCAAUUGAUGCUUCGAAAUGUUCUGUGAAGAAUAUUUGAUGACAGGUUGCCACAUGCCACUGAAAUAGUCUGGCAAGAAAAAGAAAAUUCUUCUCGUCCUCAACGAUACUAGCUUUCCGUUCUUGUUUUGGCGGCCACUAUACAUCAACCCCGUGCCACUGGCUUAGAUUGCUACGACUUCUUUGGUUGGAAUACCCCUCCCCGGGAAUAUCGAAUGCUAACAACCCAUCAAUUUCUAUUCAUGAAAUCCCUAAAAUACCAACCGUUAUCAACUUGUUUUAGGUAGCACUCCAAUCCCAGUCUUCUUUCUGGGCGAAAUGAUAACUCAUUGCCGUGGAUGGUGCCUUGACUGCGUUUAUUUCAUCACAGUGCCCAUUUUACAUCUCUUUUGCUUCUUUUUGCACUAAUGAGGCGACGGACAGUCUACGCCCCAGCUGCGAUUGACUGUACUGAUGCAUUCUCUGGGUAAAACUAUCCCACAACGGGCAACACCCAUUUGCCUCGUACAAUAGAAUAAAUAGCAUGCUAUACAUUUUACUCUAUCUUGGCCUGCCGCUCUGCUUUUCUCUUCACUUGGGG